AACGCACGAGACCUGCGGACCUGCGGAGGGAUCAUUACUGAGUGAGGGUCCCUCGGGGCCCAACCUCCCACCCGUGUAUACCGUACCUUGUUGCUUCGGCGGGCCCGCCGUUUACGCGGCCGCCGGGGGGCUAACCCCCCCGGGCGAGCGCCCGCCGGAGACACCAACGUGAACACUGUCUGAAGUUUUGUAGUCUGAGUCGAUUGUAUCGCAAUCAGUUAAAACUUUUAACAAUGGAUC
rnacentral:misc_RNA from 1 species